AAUAUUGGACAAUGUGGGCAACCCUGAUCCAGCCAUGCCGCGUGUGUGAAGAAGGUCUUCGGAGUGUAAAGCACUUUAAGUUGGGAGGAAGGGCUUUAGGUUAAUACCCUGUAGUUUUGACGUUACCAACAGAAUAAGCACCGGCUAACGCUGUUCCAGCAGCCGCGGUAAUACAGAGGGUGCAAGCGUUAAUCGGAAUUACUGGGCGUAAAGGGCGCGUAGGUGGGUCAGUAAGAGGGGUGUGAAAUCCCCGGGCUUAACCGGGGAACUGCUUUGAUAACUGCGGAGCUAGAGUACGGUAGAGGGUAGUGGAAUUUCCUGUGUAGCGGUGAAAUGCGUAGAUAUAGGGAAGAACACCAGUGGCGAAGGCGACUAACUAGACUGAUACUGACACUGAGGUGCGAAAGCGUGGGGAGCAAAC
rnacentral:rRNA from 1 species